CUUUCGCAGCCCGACUUGAACGGAGCUCAUUUUUUGCGUGGGUUUAGCGUCGGCAAAAAUAGCGGGAGUGGAAGGCGGAAAAGCUG
rnacentral:misc_RNA from 1 species